rnacentral:rRNA from 1 species
AACGAACGCUGGCGGCAGGCUUAACACACGCAAGUCGAGCGCCCCGCAAGGGGAGCGGCAGACGGGUGAGUAACGCGUGGGAAUCUACCCAUCUCUACGGAAUAACGCAUGGAAACGUGUGCUAAUACCGUAUACGUCCUUCGGGAGAAAGAUUUAUCGGAGAUGGAUGAGCCCGCGUUGGAUUAGCUAGUUGGUGGGGUAAAGGCCUACCAAGGCGACGAUCCAUAGCUGGUUUGAGAGGAUGAUCAGCCACACUGGGACUGAGACACGGCCCCGACUCCUACGGGAGGCAGCAGUGGGGAAUAUUGGACAAUGGGCGCAAGCCUGAUCCAGCCAUGCCGCGUGAGUGAUGAAGGCCCUAGGGUUGUAAAGCUCUUUCACCGGUGAAGAUAAUGACGGUAACCGGAGAAGAAGCCCCGGCUAACUUCGUGCCAGCCGCCGCCGUAAAAC